rnacentral:tRNA from 1 species
UGACCAAUAGCUUAAUAAAAAGCUCUGCUUUGAAGAAGCAGCUAUAGGAUUUUCCUUUAGUCAA